rnacentral:rRNA from 1 species
AGUGAACGCUGGCGGUAGGCCUAACACAUGCCAGUCGAACGGCAGCACAGUAAGAGCUUGCUCUUACGGGUGGCGAGUGGCGGACGGGUGAGGAAUACAUCGGAAUCUACUUUUUCGUGGGGGAUAACGUAGGGAAACUUACGCUAAUACCGCAUACGACCUACGGGUGAAAGCAGGGGAUCUUCGGACCUUGCGCGAUUGAAUGAGCCGAUGUCGGAUUAGCUAGUUGGCGGGGUAAAGGCCCACCAAGGCGACGAUCCGUAGCUGGUCUGAGAGGAUGAUCAGCCGCACUGGAACUGAGACACGGUCCAGACUCCUACGGGAGGCAGCAGUGGGGAAUAUUGGACAAUGGGCGCAAGCCUGAUCCAGCCAUACCGCGUGAGUGAAGAAGGCCUUCGGGUUGUAAAGCCCUUUUGUUGGGAAAGAAAAGCAGCAGGUUAAUACCCCGCUGUUCUGACGGUACCCAAAGAAUAAGCACCGGCUAACUUCGUG